rnacentral:RNase_P_RNA from 1 species
GAAGCCCGCCAGACCGCCGCUGGCGCAUGUCCCGAAAGGGCGCGCUGGAGGAAAGUCCGGACUGCAAAGGGCAGCGUAGCAGGUAACCCCUGUCCACCGUGAGGUGAGGAUCAGAGCAACAGAGACGAGCCGGUUCAGUCCGGGUGAAACGGGCAAUCUCUACGCGCAGCAAUACCAAGUAGGCCAGUGUUGAUGUGGCUCCGCAGAGCUGGCGGGUAGGUAGCACCGAGCCGGGUGGGCGACCCCCGGCCCAGAGUAAUGGCGGUCACGCCGGGGGCAACCCCGGCGCACAAAAUCCGGCUUACCGGCGGACUUCACAC